GAUGAACGCUGGCGGCGUGCCUAAUACAUGCAAGUCGAGCGAACGGACGAGAAGCUUGCUUCUCUGAUGUUAGCGGCGGACGGGUGAGUAACACGUGGAUAACCUACCUAUAAGACUGGGAUAACUUCGGGAAACCGGAGCUAAUACCGGAUGAUAUUUUGAACCGCAUGGUUCAAAAGUGAAAGACGGUCUUGCUGUCACUUAUAGAUGGAUCCGCGCUGCAUUAGCUAGUUGGUAAGGUAACGGCUUACCAAGGCAACGAUGCAUAGCCGACCUGAGAGGGUGAUCGGCCACACUGGAACUGAGACACGGUCCAGACUCCUACGGGAGGCAGCAGUAGGGAAUCUUCCGCAAUGGGCGAAAGCCUGACGGAGCAAAGCCGCGUGAGUGAUGAAGGUCUUCGGAUCGUAAAACUCUGUUAUUAGGGAAGAACAUAUGUGUAAGUAACUGUGCACAUCUUGACGGUACCUAAUCAGAAAGCCACGGCUAACUACGUG
rnacentral:rRNA from 1 species